AGUGGGCGGAGGAAGCUCAUCAGCGGGGCCACGUGCUGAGUGCUCGUCACUCUUCGGCCCCUGGGAAGGUCUGAGACUGGGGCCUCCCGCGGCCCUAACCGGGCUCUCCCCGAGCGGGGAGGUGAGUUCCCAGAGAGCAGGGCUCUACGCUUGGGCAGACUGGGCAGGAGAAGCCCCGAGUCGGGGCGGAUGCCUCCCUCGCCGGAGCUUGGAACAGACUCACGGCCAGCAGUGCGAG
ensembl:lincRNA Rprl1 ribonuclease P RNA-like 1